UGUCACCCAGGCUGGAGUGCAAUGGUGUGAUCUCAGCUCACUGCAACUUCUGCUUCCUGGGUUCAAGCGAUUCUCCUGCCUCUGCCUCCUGAGUAGCUGGGAUUUCAGGCGUGCACCACCACGGCUGACUAAUUUUUGUAUUUUUAGUAGAGACGAGUUUCACCAUGUUGGCCAAGCUGGUCUCGAAUUCCUGACCUCAUGAUCCACCUGCCUCAGCCUCCCAAAGUGCUGGGAUUACAGGUGUGAGCCACCGUGCCAAGCCUGGAGGUUAACUUUAAUCAGAAGCCAUAAGUGAGAGAGGACAUUUCAAAUUCAGUCAGACAUGACCUUUUCUUCCUGGGUCACUCCCUUGCAGCUACCCGUAUCUUUCUUAGGACACUUCUGGAAUUAUAUAAAAGUAUAGCCAUUUGUGUGCAUGCCUUCUAGGCCACAGGCUUAGUGAAGGUGGGAAUCAUUUGCGUCUAUAUUCUCGACAAUGACCAGCCUAGUUCUUUACGCUUUGGAAAUGUCCAAUGCAUGUUUGCUGAAUGAAUCGAUGAGGCAUGCGGACUUUUGAGGGACACAGAAAUUACAAGAUGGGUAAUAGAAGAAGGAAGUGAAGAAUAAGUGCAGGAGAUGGGGGAGAGUGGCAGAUAUUACCUGCUUGCCUUUUCCUUUCACCCAGAAGAGGUGUUAGAGCAGUCGGAGGAAAUGGACAUACUUUGGAAGACAGAGACCUGGUAAUCCCUUUUCACCCAAGAAGAACCAAGCCCUGGAUGAAUGGAUGAGCAGCUCACGUUUUUCUGCCCCCCACCCCCAGUCUUUCUGAGACUGACUUUGUCCUAGGAAUUGUUCGUCCCUCUGGAAGCUAGUCUGGAAUUCAGAGACCUGGAGGGAGAAGACACAUGGACUGUCAGAUCUAGAGACCUGCUUCCUUCAAUAGCUGAUUUUCUUUCAUUUGUGUCAGAAACAGGCAGCAUGGCACAGAGCCAUGCACCUAAAACUUUAUUGUGCAUAUUUAUUCCUAGAGAUCUUGUUAAAAUGCAGAUUCAGAUUCAGCCAAUCUAGGGUCAGGGCUUUCUAUUGUAAUAAGUUCCAAGGUAAUGCCAAUGCUGCUGGUCCAUGGACUGCACACUUUGAUGAGAAGUUUAGUAAGGAUAUAGAGGAAAGAAUACUACACGUGUAGUAGUAAUUUCUGGCUUUUAGUAUCAGCUCUGCCAUUUACCAGCUUGCUUUCUUGGACAAGUCAUUUUUCCUCUCUGGAUUUUAGUUUCCUCAAAUAUAAGCUGGGUGAUAGAGGAGGAGGUUGGGUUAGGUUAUUUCAAAGCUUGCAUUCAUAGACUCUUCAAAGUGAUGUUUUGAUUAAAAAACUCCACCUAUAGGAUCACGUACAGCUUUUCAAAGGACUAGCAGGUGAACUGGCAUUAUCAAAGCAGAAAAUAUAGGGGCUGGAGCAGGAAGGCAUGGCAAAGUCAGAGAAAAGGAAGGUGAGCCAUAAUAACUUCUUAUGGCAAAUAUAACACUUUGAUUAUUUCAGAGUGAUGGAUUUUGAAUUAAAACUGUUAUCCUGAGAGAGGCUACUAUUUUUCCCAACAACUAUCUUAGGGGGAGACCUGCAUUACUGAAAACUGAGUUGCAUAAGAAACUUGAGUGAAGGAAGCAAUGGAUAUGUUAGUGCUUUGAAAUAAGCAAAUGCUUACAGGGGCUGUGAGGGAAUCAUGGCUGGAGGGAAGCUUUCUGGAGCCAUGAGGGAGUCUGAUUUGAAAACAGCAGUUCAUCUCUGCUGCAGACCAUUUAUCUAAUUUCAGACAAAUUGGCCAGAAAUUCAGGUAUUUGGCCACUGCUAGCAGAUGUAACAGGGAGAAAUGCAGUCUCCUACAAGGGUUAGGAGAGCAAGGUGCCAGGGGUCACCCAGGGGCAUAAAUAGGCAAGGAGAAGGAGGGGGUGAAAAAGGAACACAGAUGAUGUAAGUGAAUGAAUGAAGCUUCUGACCAUCUGAGCCUCUGGCGGCAGCCCUUCCCCAAGAGCUCACGCAUCUCUGUUUUGAGCAGGAAACAGGAUCAGACAGAAAGGGCUCCCCAGACUCACAGAUACAAGCUAGUUUCUCAUUAAGUCCCAAAGCAAAGUCAGGGGAGUGGAGAAAACUCCUGGUGCUGGCGCCUCUUCCAACGUUAGGUUGAGGAAUACAGGAGAUGUUUACCUUAUGCAGGACGUGGUCGUUGAAGUCAGGGCCAGCUCCUCCCUGGUAGGAAUCGGGUCUCUGCAGGUCCAUGCCAGGCUUGGAGCUCGCCGCUCCGGCUCUCCCUGCGCUCUGCGUCAGCGCUUCCAGGAGCUCGGUUCGAGCUCCGCUGGGUGCGGCAGGCUUGGGUCUGAGCUCUGCGGGCCGGGCCGCAUCCGUUUUCAGCACUGGACAGUUCCCCGCAGCGGCCGCGGCGCGGUACCAGGCGGGCAGGCGGCCACGUUCUUCCAGGACUGAGCGUUUCAGCACCAGGAACAGCGACUCCGCCGUUGUGCGCCCGGGACCAGAGUUCUGAGAUCCUGUCCGCUCCAAUCCCUGCCUCUUAGGACUCCAGGAUGCUGGCAGGGACGCAAGAUUUGGGUCCGGCUGGUGAUCCCUGCGUAUUUCAUUCAGCUACCGGACUCCGGAGGCUCAGCACCCGGCUGCGUUCUCAGGGCAUUGCGGUCCCAGGAGCUCACCGUUCCUGAUCCCGAGCGAACGGGCAUCUCCGUCACCACGCAGCUCAGCGCAGCGCAGCUCUCCUCACACGUUUGCAGAGGCGAAGUCCUGCGGCGCUGGCGGCGCUUCUGUUUUUGUCCCUGGACAAUUCUCUCCAGGAUGUAUGAGAUAAAUAGAGCUUCUAAGUCUGAGGUCGACAGUAGAUGGGUCUUAGGUGUCCCCAAAGUCCCUGAAAUAUGCAAAAUUCUGUUUACCUGCGUUUUCCUAGGGAGAAGGUCCAGGGCUUUGAUCACAUUCUCUCCAGCACACAUGACCGCAAGAAGUUAAGGACAAUGGGCUCAGGAGAGGCAGAUGGUGGUUUGGUUAGGAGCACAGGCUCCAGGAUUCAAAUCUCGAUUCUGAAAAUUAUUAGUCGUGCAAACUCGGGCAAAUUAAUCUUUCCUAAGUGUCCACAAAAUGGAGAUAAUAUUAUAAUAGUACCUGCCUCAUGGUUUUGUUCUGAGUAUUUAAUGAGUUAAUUCAUGUAAAAAGCCUAGAACAGUGCCCAGCGUGUACUAAGAACUCAAUAAAUGUGAGCUACUAUGCUCUCCUGGCAGGGGAUGAAGAGCUCUGGCUACUUCUCCUAUACGUCAGGGGAGUCCUGCUGCUGCGACCUUUGAUUGGCAAAAUUGCAUCAUCACAUGGAAUAUGAGAGCGUGAGGCUGACCACCAUGGGAACUGGAGGCUGAGACUGUGGCCCCUGGGAUUAUUAUCAGAUUACUAAGGACAAGUCCUAGUACCAGCCACGGGCCCUUGGAGUCAAUAUCAACAUGGAAGGAAAGAGCCAGGCUUAGGGUUAAAAGAGUGCGUUUUACUGCUGGGUUUCACUCCUUUUUGGCUGAGUUGUGUGAACCAGAUCACUCGUGUUCCCUGGGAUUACUUAUGUUUUCUCAUCUGCAAAAUAGGUAGAGUAAUCUAUGCCCACUUUAUUGGGUUUGGGGGAAGAGUGAGACAAUGUACAUGAAAAGUCUUUAUUUUCUUUUAAAUUGUAAAGUAAAUUUCAUUUAUAAGGUGUUAUUAUUGCUGGAAUCACUAUACUGUAGAUACUCAA
rnacentral:lncRNA from 1 species